rnacentral:rRNA from 25 species
UAACGACUCUCGGCAACGGAUAUCUCGGCUCUCGCAUCGAUGAAGAACGUAGCGAAAUGCGAUACUUGGUGUGAAUUGCAGAAUCCCGUGAACCAUCGAGUCUUUGAACGCAAGUUGCGCCCCAAGCCUUUAGGCCGAGGGCACGUCUGCCUGGGUGUCACG